rnacentral:rRNA from 1 species
UACGUAGGGUGCAAGCGUUGUCCGGAAUCAUUGGGCGUAAAGCGCGCGUAGGCGGCCCGAUAAGUCCGCUGUAAAAGUCAACGGCUCAACUGUUGAAAGCCAGUGGAUACUGUCGGGCUAGAGUACGGAAGAGGCAAGUGGAAUUCCUGGUGUAGCGGUGGAAUGCGCAGAUAUCAGGAGGAACACCUAUAGCGAAGGCAGCUUGCUGGGACGUUACUGACGCUAAGGCGCGAAAGCGUGGGGAGCGAACAGG